rnacentral:lncRNA from 1 species
UAGUGGUGUGAGUGGUCUUUUGACCUGCGGUGUCAUAUCCUAUGCGAUUUGUGAGACUGAGUUUAGAAAGUCUUUGACCAAAGCAAGUGUGAAUACUGAAAAAGAGUCUCCACGGGAUUCACAAAUGAACUUGAGUUGAGCCAAUCUAGCAUAUGAUUGGCAAUGAGGUCUGAUGAGUUCUCCAUGACCUCCCUCAAGUCGGGACUCACGAU